AGCGGCGGACGGGUGAGUAACGCGUGGGAAUAUGCCCUUCUCUAAGGAAUAGCCUCGGGAAACUGAGAGUAAUACCUUAUACGCCCUUCGGGGGAAAGAUUUAUCGGAGAAGGAUUAGCCCGCGUUAGAUUAGGUAGUUGGUGGGGUAAUGGCCUACCAAGCCUACGAUCUAUAGCUGGUUUGAGAGGAUGAUCAGCCACACUGGGACUGAGACACGGCCCAGACUCCUACGGGAGGCAGCAGUAGGGAAUCUUAGACAAUGGGGGAAACCCUGAUCUAGCCAUGCCGCGUGUGUGAUGAAGGCCUUAGGGUCGUAAAGCACUUUCGCCAGAGAUGAUAAUGACAGUAUCUGGUAAAGAAACCCCGGCUAACUCCGUGCCAGCAGCCGCGGUAAUACGGAGGGGGUUAGCGUUGUUCGGAAUUACUGGGCGUAAAGCGCACGUAGGCGGAUUAGUAAGUUAGAGGUGAAAUCCCAGGGCUCAACCCUGGAACUGCCUUUAAUACUGCUAGUCUUGAGUUCGAGAGAGGUAAGUGGAAUUCCGAGUGUAGAGGUGAAAUUCGUAGAUAUUCGGAGGAACACCAGUGGCGAAAGCGGCUUACUGGCUCGAUACUGACGCUGAGGUGCGAAAGUGUGGGGAGCAAACAGGAUUAGAUACCCUGGUAGUCACACGA
rnacentral:rRNA from 1 species